GGGUUGUGAGGUUAAGCGACUAAGCGUACACGGUGGAUGCCCUGGCAGUCAGAGGCGAUGAAGGGCGUGCUAAUCUGCGAUAAGCGCCGGUAAGGUGAUAUGAACCGUUAUAACCGGCGAUACCCGAAUGGGGAAACCCAGUGUGACUCGUCACACUAUCAUUAACUGAAUCCAUAGGUUAAUGAGGCGAACCGGGGGAACUGAAACAUCUAAGUACCCCGAGGAAAAGAAAUCAACCGAGAUUCCCCCAGUAGCGGCGAGCGAACGGGGAGGAGCCCAGAGCCUGAAUCAGCAUGUGUGUUAGUGGAAGCGUCUGGAAAGGCGCGCGAUACAGGGUGACAGCCCCGUACACAAAAGCGCAUGUGCUGUGAGCUCGAUGAGUAGGGCGGGACACGUGGUAUCCUGUCUGAAUAUGGGGGGACCAUCCUCCAAGGCUAAAUACUCCUGACUGACCGAUAGUGAACCAGUACCGUGAGGGAAAGGCGAAAAGAACCCCGGCGAGGGGAGUGAAAAAGAACCUGAAACCGUGUACGUACAAGCAGUGGGAGCCCCACCACUAAGCCAGUGGUGAACUCCACAUACGCAUCCUUUGCUGAGGAUACGGUUAACGGAGCGAAAGCGACGUUCAACCGCAAAAGAAGCAGAGGGGGCUUAGUGGUGGGGUGACUGCGUACCUUUUGUAUAAUGGGUCAGCGACUUAUAUUCUGUAGCAAGGUUAACCGUAUAGGGGAGCCGGAGGGAAACCGAGUCUUAACCGGGCGUUAAGUUGCAGGGUAUAGACCCGAAACCCGGUGAUCUAGCCAUGGGCAGGUUGAAGGUUGGGUAACACUAACUGGAGGACCGAACCGACUAAUGUUGAAAAAUUAGCGGAUGACCUGUGGCUGGGGGUGAAAGGCCAAUCAAACCGGGAGAUAGCUGGUUCUCCCCGAAAGCUAUUUAGGUAGCGCCUCGUGAACUCAUCUCCGGGGGUAGAGCACUGUUUCGGCUAGGGGGCCAUCCCGGCUUACCAACCCGAUGCAAACUGCGAAUACCGGAGAAUGUUAUCACGGGAGACACACGGCGGGUGCUAACGUCCGUCGUGAAGAGGGAAACAACCCAGACCGCCAGCUAAGGUCCCAAAGUCAUGGUUAAGUGGGAAACGAUGUGGGAAGGCCCAGACAGCCAGGAUGUUGGCUUAGAAGCAGCCAUCAUUUAAAGAAAGCGUAAUAGCUCACUGGUCGAGUCGGCCUGCGCGGAAGAUGUAACGGGGCUAAACCAUGCACCGAAGCUGCGGCAGCGACGCUGAUGCGUUGUUGGGUAGGGGAGCGUUCUGUAAGCCUGUGAAGGUGUGUCGUGAGGC
rnacentral:rRNA from 1 species